rnacentral:lncRNA from 1 species
UUAUUGUGGCUUCUUGUGUAAAGACAGUAACUGUGGAACUGUGAUGUUGUCUUUUGUGUUGUUAAAAUAAGAACUGUCUUAUCUGUGUACGUAUGAGUCCUCCUGUCAUUGUAUUUGGCACGUGAAUAUUGUGUACAAGGAAAUGUUAAGACUGGUUACCCCUAAACAACAUAUACUUAUACCUGCUUCUGGAAAAGUGUUUAAGACUUAGCUAGGUUUCCAUUUAGAUCUUCAUAUCUGUUGCAUGGAAGAAAGUUGGAAUCUUGGCAUAGAGUUGCAUGAUAUGUAAGAUUUUGUGCAUUAAUAAUUGUUAAAAUCUGUGUUCCAAAAGUGGACAUAGCAUGUACAGGCAGUUUUCUGUCCUGUGCACAAAACAGUUUAAAAAAAAGUUGUUUAAUAUUUGUUGUUGUAUACCCA